rnacentral:RNase_P_RNA from 1 species
AGAUGCGGAUAGUCGCUGCCUGACAUAUGAGCAGGUAGAGGAAAGUCCAGGCUCGCCCGGAGCUGAGAUGCCCGGAGUGUUCGUGCCUAUCGCAAGGUAGGGCAGUCGGUUACGGCCGGCUGACGGCGGGGAAAGUAUCCUAAGGCAUUUAUGUGCUAUGGUGCGAAUACCCUGAAAGUGCCACAGUGACGGAGUUCUUCCGGAAACGGAAGAAGUGGAACGAGGUAAACCCCACGAGUGAGCAACCCAAAUUAUGGUAGGGGCACCGCCCAGCGGGAAAUGAACCAAAAGGGCGGAUCGGUCGCACAGACCGAUAGUUAAAUGACUAUGACUUCAGGUACCAGGCUGGCUGCCGAUAUGAGUACAGAAGUACAGAACCUGGCUUAUAGCA